GCCUAAAUGUAAACUAUUAUGGCAGAUAGUUUAGCGUGGUUCCUCAUAAAUUAAGCUAUUUUCUUUAAAGUUUCAAGUUAAAAUUUUGCCUCUGUCAUGAAAUGCCUAGGAAGCCUUAAAAACCUAUGUCUUUCCCCUUCCUGUAGUGUGCAAAAUAAUAAUGCUGACUUAUUUCACAAUGGCACAGUGUGUUAAAGUGCUGAGCUGCUGAACUUGCAGACCAAAAGAUUGCAGGUUUGAAUCCAGGGAACGGAAUGAGUGUCCACUGUUAGCCCCAGCUUCUGCCAACUUAGCAGUUCAAAAAACAUCCAAAUGUGAGUAGAUCAAUAGAUACCACUCCAGCGGGAAGGUAACGGCGCUCCAUGUAGUCAUGCCGGCCACAUGACCUUGGAGGUGACUACAGACAAUGCCGGCUCUUCGGCUUAGAAAUUGAGAUGAGCACCAACCUUUACCUUUACCUAUCUCACAAUACUGGACAAAGUACUGUCAUGGUUAAAGAUAUCACUGAAGGCAUUAUGACAUCACUGAAGGCAUUGUGAGAUCUACAUCUGUAGAAAGAAAGAGAGUAAACUAAAUGAAUAAGCAAGCAGAAACAACAAACAACCUAAAACUAAAGCUACAGUAAGACCCCUGUAGCCACGUAACCCAUAUCUGCAGUUUCACUAACCUGCACCGGGAAGAAAAAUGAUCUCUAUAGAAAUGUACUAGAUAAACCAGCACAUGACUCAGACAGGUCGAUUAGCAAUGGACAUGGAUGACACAAAAUCUCACAAUGAGGCCCUGGAGCAGUGCCUCCCCCCUGCUUUUCCUUGUAGCAGCUGCCUCCCUCCUGCACUCCACUUGUAACUAAAGGCAGCCAGUUUUUUACAGCCACUGUUCUGUUGUGGCCAGAAAAAAACAUGGAGGCUGAGACCUUGCCGUUAUGGUCAUCCAAGCAAGCUGAACAAGCCGUAUUGUCCAACGGGAACUGAUCAAUCCGAAUCCAUGCACAAGCCUAUUCCUCACCCUUUGGCUGACCCAGGAAUUCUAGGACUGGCAAUUGCAAGAGGGCCUCAGCUAGACAACUCUUCCUAUGCAUCUGGGCAAACUGCAAAUUUCAAGAUUCAACAGAAGGCAGCCAUGAAAGUUAAAAUAGAAUCAGAAGGCUAUGUGAUGCUAAAGGAGCAAGGGGCUCCAAAGAAACCGGACACAGAGCAGCCCCUCCAGUAUAACCCUCAGGAAGCUUGUUUCCAGGCUCAGUAAGAUUUGUGCAUCUACCUAUGGGGGAACAAGGCACUAUCCCACUCAGCGGGCAGAACAUGAGGCACUGGUCCAGGCACGAACAGUAAGAGGGUUCUCAGAAGAAAGUGAUGCAAACACAGGAUGCUAGACAUCUAAGUGAUUCAGACGAUCAAGACACGAACAGCGGGAUAGCAGUUGAAGUGCCAGUGAGCUAUGGUUGUGAGCUAUGCCUUGUGGGCAGGGGGAUGCCCUCGUGCAUGCUGCUGGUUUGGAUUUAUUGGGCUGCAAUGGUUCAGAGUUGGCAAGAGGGGUCACCCCCCUUUUGUGGUGUGUGGCAUGGGCCCUGGAUUCGGUUUGCAUACCUUCCUGCAUACCAGGAAGGGGAAGUGUCUUGGUGGUGUAGGGGUGUGGCAGUACCAGUGUCCUAGACCAGAAGUGGUCGGCUCACUGCUUGCUCUCCCAUAAGCAACAUCAGUCAGCAGUGGGCUGUCUGAUUCUUGAUCCAGGAUCCAUGCAUGACUGCCAACCCUUCUUCAUUGUAACCAAUAAACAAACUGUGGUUUCUGGUUAUCCCAACUCCUUAUAUUUUCUUUUUCUUGUGGGUUCCUGGUGGGAGGAAGAUGGUUGCUUGCCACUGUCCACACAAAGGACUCCAGUAUGUAUAGUUCUAGCAGGUUCUGCAAUCUAAGUGAAGCUUCCUAUUUUCUUUUCUCUCGCUAUUGAUAGAUGAGGGGGCUUGCGUGUUCCAAUGAACCUGAGGGCACAACCACUGGAGUCACACACUCCCAGGAGUGGCCACAGGGGAGGAUCCAGACCAAGAACAAUCCGAAGACCCUAAGACCUCAACGGCAGAGCAGGUGGAGGAUAACAUGGUGCAUGUUACAACAGCUGUGAAGGCGGAAGAAGGCUGCAACAGACUGAGAAGCCACUCUCGUUGUGUUAACCACAACACUGCUGGGACCUCACUCUGUGAAGACUAUGUGUUGACCGGCCGUGCACCGACCUCCACACAUUAAAAAAAAAAUCAUGCAUGGGCGUCUUCCAAGAAAUGGAGGACCAUCAUCCUCGAACUACGAGGGAUCGCCUAAGUAAGUAAGAGCCAGUAUGGGAUAGUGGUUUGAAAACUGGAUUAUGAACUUUAUCACACCAGCCUGCUGUUUUGUCAUAAUCACAUUCAUGUAAGUAAUGGAAACAUACACAUUCUAGAACAUCCCAUAUUGUACCUUCCCAGAAUUGUGAAAUAGCAUUGCUUCAACAAUCUGUAGACCUGCGGCUUGUAUUCCACAAAGCAUCCAUAACCUACUCUAUGUAUGCCCUAUCAGUGUGCCUUUCCAUUUUUGUAUUUUUAUUUUAUCAUAAAUUUUCCAAGUAAGACAAUAUUAAAGAAGAAGGUCAGGAAAAAACAGGGGGGAGUAAAGAGAGGAGGAGAAUAACUUCCACUGAUGCCACAUGACUGCUGGCAUAUCAGAACACAAGAGGGAGAGACCUAUCAUACUGAAGUAAGUAAUGUGAAUGUGUGAUAUGGAGAACCAUUAAUGCAUUUUACCUCUCAAUGAAAAGAGGAGCAUUACAGUAAUAGAGGGAAGACAACAGGAUGAACAUGACAUUGUGUCAUAACUAAUGACAACAGAUGUUAUUAUCUUGCUGUAAUACUGCUUUAUCAGCCUCGUGUAAAAAAAAAAAAAGACCUUAAAAAAAAGGCUUCAAAUUUCCACUCUGCCAUGGAGGUCUAUUCAGUUACGUUGGGCGAGGCAUAGCAAACUCAAUCUGAGGAAAUAUUGCCAGGAAAACCCUGUAACAGGUUUGCCUUAGGGUCACUGUAGGUCUGAAAUAACUUGAAGGCACAUGACAAUAAAUUGAUAGAAAGACAAUGAGACAGCACAUUGUAGUUUUUGAGAAAAUCCAGUUAUCUUCAUUAGGAUCCUGGAACCAAUACUGCUGAAUCUUACAUUCUAAAGUUAUAUGGGCUCAUUUGGAUCAAUUUAGACCAGAUCCAGAGAGAAUUAGAUUAGCCUUACAUGAUUCUGUAAUGAAGCAUCAUUAUCUGUGAUUCAGUCCACUUUAGAGAUGUUGACAUCAAAAGUUAGUGCUGAAAACACCAGAUUGUCUGUCUCCAACAUCACCAAAUAAGAAAAAUGCCAAAAGAUUUCCCCCCGCUCACUAAAUAAAAAUGGAGGGCAUGGGGCUUUCUUUUUACUAGCAGAAAAAUUGUGUGCAUUAUCAACAAAAUGGUCACAGCUUCUGCAAAUAUGAAAAGCUUUCGAUCAACAACUAUGCUGGGAGACUUAAGAAUAUAACUGCAUCUUACAACUUUUUAAAAAUGUCCAAACUUGGCAACUACUUUCACAAUAAAAUAUACAAUACAAUUAAAAAGCAAUAAAAUAACACAUCCCCUAACAGCAAAUUGGAAUAGUAUAUAUCUGCAAUUUUACAAAAAAAAACCCUAAAUAUGACAGAUCAAUUUGAAGAGAUAGAUCCAAAUAGAGUAGAGAGGGAAAAUGAAAAAUCUCUCUGCAUUUUGACUGUUUACCAAUAACAACUUCAAAAACAGAACAGCACAGAAGCAAGACUUUCGUGUAGUUCACAAAACCAUCUUUUAAAAUUUAAAGCAUCCCUUGUGUAGGGAGACAAACUUUUUGGGAGCAAAAGGUUGGGCAAAGUGAAUUCAAAUAGAACUGGUUAAAAAUUGCCUGGCAUGGAAGACUGAGCAUUCAGUGUUCCUUUAUUCAUUCUUGGAAUUGGCUUCAUACAUCAAUGAACUUUUCUUGGUGUUUUAGAAAAUUUGAAUACUACCCCUGAGAGUGUACCUGUAUCUUUAGAAACAGAAUGUCACUCAAGAGGGUAUUUGUGAUUUGCUAAAUAGGAGCCAUAAUUGCAACAACAUGUUUAGUGCUUGCUCAAAAGUGGGGCAGGAGGAAAACAGUGGCAAUGUUUUCUUUAUACAGUAAAGGAACUAAAACUGGGAUUACAAGAAGGUCCACUAUGACAAAACAUGUUGCAAUUUAGGGUAAAAAUUGAUCUAUUCAGUUUACCUUCCUCUAGAAAAAAUCUAUUUUGCACCAUAUAAAACUGGUAUUCAUUUUAAAGAUACCUAACAAAUUUAAAACAGUGUAAACAACGGGAUAAAAUAAUGCUUGAAGGCCAUAACAUAUUAAACUAUUUAGUAAGUUAAUAGCUUAAGAUUAAGCAGAUUAAACAGUUUUAAAAGAUUAAAACCAAGUGAAGGUGUGUAUAAGACCAACUGAUAAUGGAGUGUGACUCCUCUUGCCUCAGAAAUCCAUACAUUGCUGAGGGUUGUGAUGGGUUUUAAUGAAGACAAAAAUAUGAAAAAUGUUUCCAACAUUACAAAAGUACUCCAUUGAAAUGUAAGUAUUUGAAAAAGGCACACCAUGAGUACGUACAAAAUGAAAAAUUAGAAAAAUGUGCCCCUCUAAAGAAAAUCUCUAUAGGGUAAAAUGAUUAUCAUCAUCAUCAUCAUCAUCAUUUAAUUACUUAUUAAUCGCCCUCCAUCCAAGAUGCUCUAGGCGAUUUACAAGAUAAAAUUGUAAAGGAUAAAAAUACAUACAUAUAAAUAUUGAUAAAAUUAACAUAGAUUAAAAGCUCUAGUAAAGAGCCAGGUCUUGAGUGCUAGAGUAAAAGGCCCUAACUCACGCAUGGCUCUCAUAUAGGGCGGCAAGGCAUUCCAUAAGGCAGGGGCAGAAAUAGAAAAAGCUCUGCAUCUGGUCCUUUCCAAAUGCACUUCUCUAGGACCCGGUAUGUAAAGUAAGUCGCGUUGAGAUGGUCGUUGCGACUUCCGAUGAUGGAAGAAGGAGAGACGGUCCCUAAGGUACAAUGGGCCCUGGCCGUAAAGAAUUUUAAAGGUCAGAACUAGCAUCUUAUAUAGACCACGGUAAUCAGUUGGAAGCCAAUGCAGAUGGUGCAGCACUGGUGUUAUAUGGCAUUUCAUGGGUGUUCUUGUGAGUAGCCUGGCUGCCGCAUUCUGAACAAUACGGAGCUUUCGGGUCGUGGACAUCGGAAGGCCAACAUACAGGGCGUUGCAAUAGUCCAGCCUAGACGUGACCGUGGCAUGGAUGACUGUUGCCAGAGCCUCAUCAGAUAGAUAAGGUGCCAGUUGCCUCGCUUGUCGUAGAUGGAAAAAGGCCUGUUUGCUAGCAGCAGCGACCUGAGCUUCCAUUGUCAGCUGCGAAUCCAAAACGACACCCAGGCUCUUAACGGUAGGCGAAGGAGAUAGAGCAGCACCAUCGAAGGUGGGUAGCAAAUGGGUCAGACCAGUCGAGCGGCCAUGCCAGAGAAUCUCAGUCUUUGUGAUGACUCAUGGGCCAUGUAGUCCCGUUCCUAGUACUAUUGUGGCAGAUGAAGAGGAAAACUUGGGUUUCCCACCAUUUCAGCUAGAAUUGGAGCCCUUGCACCUGCAAGAUGUUUGCCCACAAGAAGUCAGCCAAACAAGCCUUGAGCAGAAAUCUCCCCCAUUUUCUCGCCGGGAUAAUUAUAAUCGAGAUAGAGGCGCUAGGGAGGCGAAUCGCAGGAGCGCCAGGAUUGCUGCCAGACAAUUAGCUGAUUAAGCCUGUUUCCCUUGGGAAAUCUUAAGGAGUCAUGCAUCUGGACACAGUAUGGGUUUCGUUUCUUGUUCCCCAGGGAAAGUGUUCCUUGGCGGGAAAACAAGAUCCUAUAUAGGUGUUUACCCACAAAGAAAUCCUUGCAGAGUCAAUUCGUCAGCUUCGGGAGUAAGAUCGUGUGUGGACUACGCUACUCCAGUUCCCUCGGACCUUGUUCUAGUUCCAAGCCUGCCUUGUCCCCGGAUCUUGCCACGGACCUCGUUCUUGCUUCUUGCCUCUUGUUGCCAUGUAUCAAGCCUUGUUUGCCAAGAAUCUAGUUUGCUUCCAGCCUUGUUGUCAAGCUCCAUUGGACUAAAGGACCCUGUCAUUUCCCCACACUUUGCUUGGCAAAGUGUGUGUUUCGGUUUUUGGAUUAUAACUUUGGACUCUAAUAUCACAUAUUGGACAUUGUUUUCCUGGACUAUAUUUGACCUUUCCUGAAAGGACUACUUCUGAACUAUAUUCUUCACUUGUUUUUAUUGACUUUAUAUAUUCCUUUAAUAAAGAUAUUAGAUAGUUUCUGGCCUCUGCGCAUGGUUAUUGGUGCUCCGCAGCCUGGGUCUUGACAGUCUUCGCCGGGUUCACCUUCAGUCUACUAGCACGUAGCCAGUUCGACAAAGCCUCCAGACAUAAGGUGAAAUUGUCUGGUAUUGACGUUGCUCCAGGCUCCAAGCGCAGAAGGAGUUGGGUGUCGUCUGCAUAUUGAUCGCAAUCUAGGCCGAAACUCCGAGCCAAACUAGCAAGGGGUCUAACGUAGAUGUUGAAGAGAAGCAGGGAGAGAAUUGCACCUUGGGGUACCCCACAUAGGAGGGGAGAUCUGUCAGAGACUUGAUCCAUAUACUCCACGCAUUGGCUCCGGUUUCGGAGAAAUGAGUUGAACCAAUUGAGGGCCUGACCGCGAACUCCGGACAUGGCGAGACGGUGAAUCAUUAGGUCAUAGUCAACGGUGUCAAAUGCUGCGGUAAGGUCGAGAAGUACCAGAAGCGCUGAUCCGCCGCUAUCAGAAUGACAACGGAGUUCAUCUGUGAUGGCAACCAGGACUGUCUCCGUCCCAUGGCCAGGGCGGAAGCCUGACUGGAAAGGGUCCAGGCUGGUUGUAUCAUCCAAAAAUUGUUGCAAUUGUCCCAGUACAGCCCGCUCUAUCAUCUUACCUAAGAAUGGAAGGUUAGAGAUUGGACGAUAAUUGGCAAUGGUCAUGGGAUCCA